AAUGAGAAAAAGCACAACAUUUAUUUGAUAUACACAUUUUUGUUUUGAACAUACAAAAUAACUUACAACCAACACAGAAUUGGGUAGUAAAAGAAAGCUGCAAAGUUUAGCCUUUAUUUUUAUUUUUUAAUCAACUUUCUAUUCUGACUGACAUCUGCAGGUGAAAGGAUGAAAGUUUGAAAGUUAUGCACCUCCAGGUGCAUAUUUUUGUGAGAAUGAGUGAUUUGUGGAAAUGAAAAUAAAACUUUGGCUAAUAUUUGGUUUCUACACAGGAUUCAAAAUACAGCAGCUGCUGAGGAUAUAGAAAAAAUACAGUACUAUUUGUUGUGAUUCCAAGGACGUCUUAGUUUUUUUUUUUUCUUUUUUAUAUUUUUCAACGGUACCAAAAAGUUGCUGUCUGCAUUGAAUUGUUGAAAGUGAAUGAAACUCAAUUAUCAUUUCUUUUCUUUUCCUACUCAAGUUCAGACUUUAUAAUCACUUUAUUGUCCACAGUCUAGGAGGUUGUACUUCUUUUGUGGAGAUGGUUGUUAUUUGAGGUAAUCAUAUUUUAAAUUUUAUACUUAUUCUUCCUAGAGAAAAACAUUCUCACUUUUGUCAAAUUUGAUACAUAUCUUAACAUUAAUUUUACGUCUUGUGUUAAAACCAGAAUGUAUUUAAAUUAUGGCUUCUCUUCCUGAAAAAGAAAUUACUCAAUAAUAUACAAAUCUUGGGGGGAAAAACCCCCAUGGUUUAAUCAUUUGUAGGACCAACUUCAGAGAGAACAAAAUUAAAUAACUUUUUUUAUAUAUAUAAUGUAAUCAGCCUCUGCAUAACAAAACUGUUACAAUGUGUACAAUAAUGUUUUCUUUUGUUGCGGUUUCCAGGGAUUUAUUUUUGCAGAUAUUUCUACAACUAUGCCACUACAACACCUUUUCUUUAUCAUACUUUCUGUUGAAGAUUUGAAGAUAUCCUGAGUGUCAUUAAACUGCUGUAUGACUGGAAUCAGCUUUAGGACAAACGGCCUUGUUUACCUUCACACUUACAUUAGUAUUCUGGAAAUCUGUGGAGGCUCAGCAAGCAAUUCACUCUAAGGUAACUGGAGACUUCUCUUAGUUAUGUGAAGGUUUAGGAUAUUUAGAGCAGAAAAAAAAGCUUCCUGUCAUGGUUGAUUGCAUGACCAGUUAAAAAAGAUGCAUCUCUGGUCAACUAUUGUCUUUUUUUAGUUAUCAGUUUUGCAAAAGUCAUUAUCCUUUCUGGAGCCCAAAAGAGAGAAUGACCCAUAAGGCAGACACUCACACUUAGGGAUAAUAUUUGUGCUUUCAUGUUUAACUAAGACACAAGUAUGAAGACUUUAGAGUAUAACCAGAGUACAUGAAGAAAGUCCACCCAUGCACAGUGGGAAUGUAUAAACUGCACAAAGUUUGUGUUGCCAGCUUUCAAACCUUCUUACUGUGAGUCACUGAUAUUAAAGUUGAAGCCUGGAGCCCUUAAAUCUCUUCACAUUUUUAAAUUCAAGGAUUUAAGGGAUCAAAAGGCCAUGGCAUGAACAAAAAAAGAAAGUUGUGUAGCUGAUUGUUUCGUUUAAUGCAAACAAUAAUUUCACUACCACAGUAAAAUAUUUUAAAACUAAAUAUAGAGGCAAUAGUACUAAUAAUUAUAACAUUACUGUCAGUGAACACAAUCAUGACUCUCAUGAUGUGUCUCAGGUUGACAAGGAAGCCAAUCAAUCUGCUGCAGAAAAGGCUCAAGAAAAGAUACUUCAUUUAAAAUAUUCUCUAAUACUGACACUACUGACAAAACCUUAUGACAAACAUAUAAUGCUGUUUAGGACAUUCAAAAAUGCUUUGCAAGAAAAGGACAAACACAGAAAACAUAAAUCUCCCCACAUCAUCUUUCAUUGA